rnacentral:rRNA from 1 species
UGAGGAAUAUUGGUCAAUGGGCGAGAGCCUGAACCAGCCAAGUAGCGUGCAGGAUGACGGCCCUAUGGGUUGUAAACUGCUUUUAUAUGGGAAUAAAGUGAGGGACGUGUCCCUUAUUGCAUGUACCAUACGAAUAAGGACCGGCUAAUUCCGUGCCAGCAGCCGCGGUAAUACGGAAGGUCCAGGCGUUAUCCGGAUUUAUUUGGUUUAAAGGGAGCGUAGGCUGUUUGUUAAGCGUGUUGUGAAAUGUAAGAGCUCAACUUUUAGAUUGCAGCGCGAACUGGCAGACUUGAGUGCGCACAACGUAGGCGGAAUUCAUGGUGUAGCGGUGAAAUGCUUAGAUAUCAUGACGAACUCCGAUUGCGAAGGCAGCUUACGGGAGCGCAACUGACGCUAAAGCUCGAAGGUGCGGGUAUCGAACAGG